rnacentral:rRNA from 1 species
CGUGCCAGCCGCCGCGGUAAUACGGAGGGUGCAAGCGUUAUCCGGAUUCACUGGGUUUAAAGGGUGCGUAGGUGGGCUAGUAAGUCCGUGGUGAAAUCCCCGAGCUUAACUUGGGAACUGCCAUUGAUACUAUUAGUCUUGAAUAUCGUGGAGGUAAGCGGAAUAUGUCAUGUAGCGGUGAAAUGCUUAGAUAUGACAUAGAACACCAAUUGCGAAGGCAGCUUGCUACACGGUCAUUGACACUGAGGCACGAAAGCGUGGGGAGCAAACAGGAUUAGAUACCCUGGUAGUCCACGCCCUAAACUAUGGAUACUCGACAUCAGCGAUACACAGUUGGUGUCUGAGCGAAAGCAUUAAGUAUCCCACCUGGGAAGUACGAUCGCAAGAUUGAAACUUAAAGGAAUUGGCGGGGGAC